CCUGCCCGUGGAUGAUCCGCAUCUGCUUCAGGAAAGUGGACUUGCCGCUCUCGCCCGCGCCCAGCAGCAGGAUCUUCACGAGCCGCUUCACUGUAAUGGAAAGCCAAGCUAGGAUGCCUAGGAGGCAGAAGAUGUUCCCGCCCAGCCAGUUCAUGUUGUGACACGCAGAAUACCAGAGAAAGCUGUACGAAGCCCUGCGUGUAACCUUGGCUUGGAACAAGCGUAGAGGAAGCCUGGCUGCUCUAAUCAGUGUUUCCCACGGAGAGACCUCUUUUGGCCAGACCUGGGGUUCGGCUGUAGCUGUUCAACUUCUAACUGGUCAUCGAGACACCUUGUAAAUUCCUCUGAAAAAGAUCUGUGAGCCGGUUGACCAGCUGGGGCUGCAGCUAGUCCCAAGUCAGCAGCCUUGUCGUCUUAAAGACACACACCAGCAUGCAUGUGGGUUCUUGCACCUUGCCUCCUGCCUCACAUGGAGCACAGGCAAGCUGUUUGUGUAACGCUGAACACAAGGCUUUGCCUAUCACUCUGAGAUUCCUUCUGGGAAGUCAAGACACCCUGUUUAGCCCUCUCCUAGAUGUCUCUUCACCACUUUUAAACAUCAGUGAUACAGUCUGUUUUGUGGGCUACCUCUGGGCAGAAACAGGCAAAGACUCUUCAGCAUGAGUUCUGUUCCUCCCAGGAAAGUUCCAGCUGCAGUCUCAGUUUAUUCCUGUGUCUGUCUUAAAAGCGUCUGCUCCCGAUGGCAGCAGAAGUCUUCCCUCUGCACACUGGAUCAGCAGGCUUGGACCUGCAGCUUCCAGCAGCCACGCUCCUGACUAGCAGGCUCCUUCCCUGGGCGGUGUUAACGUGUCUCAGCCUGCAGACCUGGCCCCUGCUUCAGCACAAAACAGCCAGGGGCAUCAGCUUGCUGAGUUGACUACUGAGCUCUAAAGAGCUCAUCCAGGGGCACUGGGAGAUGGGCCGCGUGGCCUACGUCAACCUGCGGCAGACCGGCUCCCGGAGCAGAUAGCGUCAUCAAUACAUCUUUCUCGAAACAACUGUGUCAGCUACUAAGCCAAAGAAAGGCGGGCCCACGGCAGGGGUCAGGGAAAGGCAGCAAGUGCUGAGUCAGAGUGACAGUAGAGGGCUCUGUGGCCAGCGUCCCUCUUCUGCUGUACAUAUUAACUCUGUGCUGGCCUUGGGGAGGUCCUGCCAGGCCCCAGCAGAAGAGGAGAAGAGGAAGUAAAAGCAAGGGAAGCAUGGGCCAGCAGGUUAUAAUGCAACAGGUUAAGCCACUGCCUGUGACUCCAACAUCCUGUAUCUGAGUGUCUGUUCAAGUCUUGGCUGCUCUCCUUCUGCCCAGUUCCCUGCUAAUGCACCUGAGAAAGCAGCAGAAGGUGGUUCAAGGGAGCUUGGGUCCCUGCCAUCCACAUGGGAAACCUGAAUGGAGUUCCAGUCCCCUGGAUUUGGCCUGGCCCAGCCCCAGCUAUUGCUACCUUUGGAGAGUGAACCAAAGGGUAGAUGAUCUCUCCCUCUGUCUCUGUAACUCUGCUUUUAAAUACAUGAAUAAAUGUUUAAAAAAGAAGAAACAAGCGAAAA